rnacentral:misc_RNA from 1 species
GAAAGUUUGCUUUACUUAUCAGAAUUAAGGCAUACUACCAUCCACAUAUUGUUGGUUUCCCCUUACUCUUUUUAUCUAUGAAUAAGAUGUAACAACAAAUUAUUUUUUCCUGCUAUAGGUAUCCCGGGAAUUUCAUCCCAACUUCUCAGCAAAGUGGAGACACUAUUUGUAUAUAUUCCCUAUUGAUGAUGUAUUAGGCGAAAAGCAAGGGGG